AACGCCCGGCCAGGGGGCGGGCGUCACAUGGUGGGCGCUGUGGCUGCGGCUGCGGCUGCAGCGGCCCCAGGUGCAAACAGACUGCCGCCGAAUGUGAGCAGCGAGGCGAGGGGUCGAGGUAGCGAGGAGUCAGGGUGGCCCGCAGCAGGAAGACAGAAGGCGUGGAGACAGACUGGCGUUUUGCCUCAGAGGAAGAAGUGGAGUCCCCUCUCCCAUUCUGUGAGCAAGUGCCAGUUCCAGUGAUUCGUACUUUCAUGUCCGAGUUGGAAACCUUGGCCCGACGGUGAUGGACUGCACGACUUGCUGGACUCCCAAGUCCGAAGUUUCUGCGGCAGCGCUUGCUUUGUGGCGCCACCUGGAACAUAGAGAACGGUGGGGGUAAAUAAGGGGAGCCUGAAGUUUCUGCUCUGUGCUUGCGUGUUCGACUCCCAUCGCCGAGACUUUCUUCUGCUUUGGAUCGCUUGUCCCAGGCUGACGCCGCGCUGCGACGUCUCCCCUCGUAGGAGCCUAACGCCAACCCCUGCGCCAGGCAGGGAUGGAAUCAUCAUUCUCAUUGUAUAGAUGGACACUGAGGCUCGAGAACGGAAACGACUUCUUUUGAGUUGGGUGCCCCUCCCCCCUUGCCAGGCAGCCGCCUUUCUCUGUUGCCAUAGCACAAAUCACAAGGGUAUUUAUGGAACAAAAGCUCAGACCGCUGAGAUGUUCACUCUGCACUUUCAGCAGCACUCACAUUGAGAUAUGAGAAGACUGCAACAAGAACAAAAGGGUUGUGCCACCUCCUUUGGAUGUGAAGAGGAUGUGCUGACACGUGUGCUCGGGAGCCAGACUUUGUGGCCUUGGGGAAAGGACUGAAUAUUUCUGUGCUUCGUCGUUUGCAUCUGUGGAAUGCAGGUGGUGGGCCUUUUGAUGACAGCUAUGGAAAAGUCUUUCCAGAAAAAUGCACGUGCACAUAAAAUUAGAAUGUUUCCAAGAUACGCAUGGACCCUGUGAAACCCACUGAAGAUUCCAUGGCCCCAGGCCAUAUGCUGCUGGCGAGUGUGGUGGGAUGUGUUUAUAUUGGAUACAGCCUGGAGCCCUGCACCGGAGCAUCUUACUGCCAGGAGAGCUAGUGUGGUGGAGGGGAGAAGCGGUGAAGCCAUUUCUAUCCCAGCAUGCCCAGCAUUUCAGAGAUGACAAGGAAAAUCUUCAUUACCGUUUCAAGAACUGGGAACAAAGAAAAAUCCCGUUCCAGGACACAGAGGAGGAGAUGCGGGUAGCUGAACAGAAACUUUUGAAGAUUACCAUGGGAAUACACCUGUGAACUUCCAGGUUUGAUCUCAGUUACUCUCUUACUUGAAGAAGGCUUCGAUGAUUCCUCAUGGAGAAAUCCCAGAUACUUCUGCACAUGAUUCAAAGGUCCCUUACAACUGGCUUCAGCCUGCCUUCCAAGCCCUGUCUCUCGCCUCUCCCUUCCUUCAUGCCGUGCGUCAGUGAG